rnacentral:rRNA from 2 species
GACGAACGCUGGCGGCGUGCCUAAUACAUGCAAGUCGAACGAACUCUGGUAUUGAUUGGUGCUUGCAUCAUGAUUUACAUUUGAGUGAGUGGCGAACUGGUGAGUAACACGUGGGAAACCUGCCCAGAAGCGGGGGAUAACACCUGGAAACAGAUGCUAAUACCGCAUAACAACUUGGACCGCAUGGUCCGAGCUUGAAAGAUGGCUUCGGCUAUCACUUUUGGAUGGUCCCGCGGCGUAUUAGCUAGAUGGUGGGGUAAUGGCUCACCAUGGCAAUGAUACGUAGCCGACCUGAGAGGGUAAUCGGCCACAUUGGGACUGAGACACGGCCCAAACUCCUACGGGAGGCAGCAGUAGGGAAUCUUCCACAAUGGACGAAAGUCUGAUGGAGCAACGCCGCGUGAGUGAAGAAGGGUUUCGGCUCGUAAAACUCUGUUGUUAAAGAAGAACAUAUCUGAGAGUAACUGUUCAGGUAUUGACGGUAUUUAACCAGAAAGCCACGGCUAACUACGUGCCAGCAGCCGCGGUAAUACGUAGGUGGCAAGCGUUGUCCGGAUUUAUUGGGCGUAAAGCGAGCGCAGGCGGUUUUUUAAGUCUGAUGUGAAAGCCUUCGGCUCAACCGAAGAAGUGCAUCGGAAACUGGGAAACUUGAGUGCAGAAGAGGACAGUGGAACUCCAUGUGUAGCGGUGAAAUGCGUAGAUAUAUGGAAGAACACCAGUGGCGAAGGCGGCUGUCUGGUCUGUAACUGACGCUGAGGCUCGAAAGUAUGGGUAGCAAACAGGAUUAGAUACCCUGGUAGUCCAUACCGUAAACGAUGAAUGCUAAGUGUUGGAGGGUUUCCGCCCUUCAGUGCUGCAGCUAACGCAUUAAGCAUUCCGCCUGGGGAGUACGGCCGCAAGGCUGAAACUCAAAGGAAUUGACGGGGGCCCGCACAAGCGGUGGAGCAUGUGGUUUAAUUCGAAGCUACGCGAAGAACCUUACCAGGUCUUGACAUACUAUGCAAAUCUAAGAGAUUAGACGUUCCCUUCGGGGACAUGGAUACAGGUGGUGCAUGGUUGUCGUCAGCUCGUGUCGUGAGAUGUUGGGUUAAGUCCCGCAACGAGCGCAACCCUUAUUAUCAGUUGCCAGCAUUAAGUUGGGCACUCUGGUGAGACUGCCGGUGACAAACCGGAGGAAGGUGGGGAUGACGUCAAAUCAUCAUGCCCCUUAUGACCUGGGCUACACACGUGCUACAAUGGAUGGUACAACGAGUUGCGAACUCGCGAGAGUAAGCUAAUCUCUCAAAGCCAUUCUCAGUUCGGAUUGUAGGCUGCAACUCGCCUACAUGAAGUCGGAAUCGCUAGUAAUCGCGGAUCAGCAUGCCGCGGUGAAUACGUUCCCGGGCCUUGUACACACCGCCCGUCACACCAUGAGAGUUUGUAACACCCAAAGUCGGUGGGGUAACCUUUUAGGAACCAGCCGCCUAAGGUGGGACAGAUGAUUAGGGUG